AAAGAGUAACGGAGGAGCACGAAGGUUGGCUAAUCCUGGUCGGACAUCAGGAGGUUAGUGCAAUGGCAUAAGCCAGCUUGACUGCGAGCGUGACGGCGCGAGCAGGUGCGAAAGCAGGUCAUAGUGAUCCGGUGGUUCUGAAUGGAAGGGCCAUCGCUCAACGGAUAAAAGGUACUCCGGGGAUAACAGGCUGAUACCGCCCAAGAGUUCAUAUCGACGGCGGUGUUUGGCACCUCGAUGUCGGCUCAUCACAUCCUGGGGCUGAAGUAGGUCCCAAGGGUAUGGCUGUUCGCCAUUUAAAGUGGUACGCGAGCUGGGUUUAGAACGUCGUGAGACAGUUCGGUCCCUAUCUGCCGUGGGCGCUGGAGAAUUGAGGGGGGCUGCUCCUAGUACGAGAGGACCGGAGUGGACGCAUCACUGGUGUUCGGGUUGUCAUGCCAAUGGCACUGCCCGGUAGCUAAAUGCGGAAGAGAUAAGUGCUGAAAGCAUCUAAGCACGAAACUUGCCCCGAGAUGAGUUCUCCCUGAGAC
rnacentral:rRNA from 1 species